rnacentral:lncRNA from 1 species
CAGUUUUGUCCAUAAUCCAGUUGAUACUACGAUUGUGCCUUUGCCCAUAUUUUGUAACUACUGAUGAAGUCUAAGACCCCUUAACAAUACAAUGCGGUAUUGGUAUUGCUUAUUGUACAAACCGUACGGAGAUAAUGGUGAUUUAUAUUCUUGUGAAUGGUUUUUAAUGAACAUGCUGAAGUCAUCGCAUUCUUUAUUAUUCUAAAUAGUAUCAUGACCGACA